GAUGAAGAACUCAGCAAAAUGCGAUAAGUAAUGUGAAUUGCAGAAUUCAGUGAAUCAUCGAAUCUUUGAACGCACAUUGCGCCCGCUGGUAUUCCGGCGGGCAUGCCUGUUCGAGCGUCAUUUCAACCCUCAAGCCCCCGGGUUUGGUGUUGGGGAUCGGCUCUGCCCUUCUGGGCGGUGCCGCCCCCGAAAUACAUUGGCGGUCUCGCUGCAGCCUCCAUUGCGUAGUAGCUAACACCUCGCAACUGGAACGCGGCGCGGCCAUGCCGUAAAACCCCAACUUCUGAAUGUUGACCUCGGAUCAGGUAGGAAUACCCGCUGAACUUAAGCAUAUCAAUAAGCGGAGGA
rnacentral:misc_RNA from 1 species